UCAUGAAUCAAACGGGCAGACUUUGGGAAUGGUCAUGGGCUGUACAAACGCCAACUGCUGUGAUCACAUCCUGCUGUGACUGAGGGGAAGUUUGGCUUGGAAAGAACUUGUUGCACAGACACAUGUGGCCUCAGCAGGAUGGAUCCUUAACAGAGGAGACAGAUUCCAGAUUCAGGCCUGCUGGAGCAGGGUUUAAAUCCUCCGAAUUCGGAUGGACGGAUACUGGGCCUACUUCAGCGUCGCUGAGAAGUCAGUGACCCGUACCCUGCGAGCGCGCGGUCGACAGAGCUGGAACUCUUGUCCCGAAUGCUCCUUCCAGGUGCCCCUCUGAGGAAGAGCGGACAGAUGAGGUGCGACGUGCAUGGACAUCUGGCCUCGUGAGCCUCUUAAUCUCGUCAAAGCCUGCUACGUGCGCCAUGCUGGACGGCACCUACACACGCAGAGCGGCCUGGGCCGGGGAAGGAGCCACGGCGAGAGGGAUGGCAGUUCGGGAGAGCAUCAGGACAGAACCGGGGAAGGGCAAGAGGCUCCGGCGGGAGGAGGGGACUCAGAAGCGGAAAAUGCGCAGGAGGCCGGGGAAGAACAAGGCCCGAGAAAGGAUGGACGGCGGGUAAAGCGGCAGGUCUCCAGGGAACGGCCAGCGAUGCUGGACCACGGACGAGCGAGUGAGCGGAUGAUGGGGCAAGAGCACAGAGGUGGGACCUAUGGACGGCGGCGCCAGGAGCCACGGAAAAGCCUGAGACACACAGGGCCCGAGUCCGACUUCAGUGGUCUGUGGCAGUCAGUGGUCUGUGGCG